rnacentral:rRNA from 1 species
UACGAAGGGGGCUAGCGUUGUUCGGAAUCACUGGGCGUAAAGCGCAUGCAGGCGGAUUGUUAAGUCGGGGGUGAAAUCCCUCGGCUCAACCGGGGAACUGCGUCUGAGACUGGAAGGCUUGAAUUCGGGAGAGGGAUGUGGAAUUCCAGGUGUAGCGGUGAAAUGCGUAGAUAUCUGGAGGAACACCGGUGGCGAAGGCGGCAUCCUGGACCGAGAUUGACGCUGAUGCGCGAAAGCCAGGGGAGCAAACGGG